GCAGACUAGCAACACACAGAACCAAGAACAUGGACCGUCACGAACAUCUUUCAAUUUUCCUUUUUAAUAUUUUUCUGAAUCUUAAUUUUAUGCAUGAAGAUGAAAUGAUGGUUAUCAUACAAAAUAUCAAUGAACAAAAGAAAUGCUGACAAGUGCUUAUGGAAGAUAGCUUGUGCAAGCCAGGAUGCUUUGUCUGGAUUUACAAUGUGCCGCCCUUAAAGGGGAAAAGUGGUUAUCUUAAGCCACAACCUAUUUUAUUCAUGAAACACUGUAAUAACUGCAGGCUGAGUCAGAGAGCAUCUGUGGCUUCAGCAGUCAGAUGGUCCGACCACUCUAGCUUCUGUGGCAAAGCAACAAGGCAGUCUGGGAACGUUUUGUCACUGUAGCUAAAAGAUCUAGAACUGGCAACUCAAACCACAACCUCAGUGUCCUGGAGAGGCCUCUGAUUCCUCUGCUGGCUGACCAGACACCCUACCACCCUCUGUGUCUCUCCAGCCUUUUCCAAAUUGUCUGAGAUGCUCUGCAUUAUUUCAAGAAAUCUCCUUUCUGUUUAAACC
rnacentral:lncRNA from 1 species